AAAGCGUUUUCCAUAACUGACAAGGCAGAAAUAAGUGUCCAACUUGGCUUAAAUGAAAUUUUCAUUUCUGCAUUUAAUAGUUUUUAUUUUUUAUUUUUUUUAUUUUUGAGACUAUGCAUAGUGGUAAGAAAAUAUGAUUUGGUGUGGAGGGUGAUGUAUGUCCUACCUCAUGUAAUUUGGUCCAGCAGGAACUGAAAGUUUGACUUUUUAGGAAGGUUCUCUCCUCGAACUUGGAAGAGAGGUGUUCACAAGCCAUUUCCACAUAAUUUUCUCUUCUAUUCUUGGAAGGUUCCACAAAUUAUUUUCUAUUUAUGUCUGUGUCAGAAAAUGAGAGGGAAGUAGUCUUGAUCAGGCUCACAUUUUUUUGUUGCUUCAGAGAGAGGAGGCUCUAAUGAAGAGGGAUGUCUCAGUGGAGGGGAGUGAGAGGCAAGACUUCUUUGAAAGAAAGUUUUUCAGUGUGAUACAUGAUUAGAGAUAUGGGCAUAAAACAAAAUUUAUCCAUGUUGUUGGCAGGAUCCAACUGAUGGAGUUCCUUUAAAACCUUGCUCACACUUGUACUUUUCAGACUAUUCAAUGACUCUUUCUGUGAGACAUCUAGUUUGCUUCCAUGGAGGAAAUUGCUCCAUUAAGCACUUCAUAUUCACUUCCAUUACAUAUUUUCUGAUUUUUUUUUUUUCAUUAUUCUUCGAUUUUCUUCUGAAAUAACAAGAUAAGGAAACUGUUUACUAGGUACAGUCAAAUUUAUUAAUUGGCUUAUUCCCCAAAUAAACCCAACUGCACAAUUUCUACCUGGAUAUUACUGAUUCACAAUGUGCUUAGUUGUUAUUCACAUAUUCGAAUAUGAUAAUGUAUGUUUACAAGGGUAGUUUUUAUUGUAUUAACCUUGUAUUUAUAAUUCAAUUGCUAGCAAACAUCAAAUGCUUCAUUGAGGUCAGAUGGAUCAACCAACAGUUUCCUUCAGAAGAAGUUAUUUCUUACCAUGGGUUCUACAGAGAACUUUACAGGAAUCUGUGCAUUUUUCCUAAGGAUGUCAGAUAAAGUUAUAACCACAUCAAAUGUUUGCCAGGAGGUGAAUUUUGGCAUCUUCGAUUGUUCUAAUGGAAAUAUCCUUCAGGGUCUGGAAUUGUUCUUGUCCCAGAUCAUGAUACCAGCGCUUAAAUCCCAGCAGGUAAUCAAAUAG
rnacentral:lncRNA from 1 species